rnacentral:rRNA from 1 species
GAUGAACGCUGGCGGCGUGCUUAACACAUGCAAGUCGAACGGAAAGGCCCAAGCUUGCUUGGGUACUCGAGUGGCGAACGGGUGAGUAACACGUGGGUGAUCUGCCCUGCACUUCGGGAUAAGCCUGGGAAACUGGGUCUAAUACCGGAUAGGACCACAUUUUGGAUGGUGUGGUGGAAAGUUUUGCGGUGUUGGAUGGGCUCGCGGCCUAUGAGCUUGUUGGUUGGGUAAUGGCCUACCAAGGCGUCGACGGGUAGCCGGCCUGAGAGGGUGUACGGCCACAUUGGGACUGAGAUACGGACCAGACUGCAACGGGAGGCAGCAGUGGAGAGUAUUACACAAUAGGGGCGAGCCUGAGGCAGCGGCGUCGCGUGGGGGAUGACGGCCUUCGGGUUGUAAACUCCUUUCGCUAGGGACGAAGCGCAAGUGACGGUACCUGGAGAAGAAGCACCGGCUAACUACGUG